GACGAACGCUGGCGGCGUGCCUAAUACAUGCAAGUUGAGCGCUGAAGGUUGGUACUUGUUCCAACUGGAUGAGCAGCGAACGGGUGAGUAACGCGUGGGGAAUCUGCCUUUGAGCGGGGGACAACAUUUGGAAACGAAUGCUAAUACCGCAUAAAAACUUUAAACACAAGUUUUAAGUUUGAAAGAUGCAAUUGCAUCACUCAAAGAUGAUCCCGCGUUGUAUUAGCUAGUUGGUGAGGUAAAGGCCCACCAAGGCGAUGAUACAUAGCCGACCUGAGAGGGUGAUCGGCCACAUUGGGACUUGGACACGGCCCAAACUCCUACGGGAGGCAGCAGUAGGGAAUCUUCGGCAAUGGACGAAAGUCUGACCGAGCAACGCCGCGUGAGUGAAGAAGGUUUUCGGAUCGUAAAACUCUGUUGGUAGAGAAGAACGUUGGUGAGAGUGGAAAGCUCAUCAAGUGACGGUAACUACCCAGAAAGGGACGGCUAACUACGUG
rnacentral:rRNA from 1 species